AAAUUAAGUGAAUAAGCGCAGAAGGUGGAUGCCUAGGCAGUCGAAGGCGAAGAAAGACGUGGAAGCCUGCGAAAAGCUUCGGGGAGCUGGCAAACAAGCAUUGAUCCGGAGAUAUCUGAAUGGGGAAACCCGGCCUAUUUCAUAUAGGUCAUUGUUAACUGAAUUCAUAGGUUAACAAAGCGAACCGAGGGAACUGAAACAUCUAAGUACCUCGAGGAAAAGAAAUCAAUUGAGAUUCUGCAAGUAGCGGCGAGCGAACGUGGAAAAGCCUUCACGAGCUAGUUAACAGAUUAGCCAAAAGUUCUGGAAAGGACUGCCCUAGAGGGUGAAAGCCCCGUCGGCGAAAAUGUGUUAAUGAGACUAAGCGUGAAAUCAAGUAGGGCGGGACACGAGAAAUCCUGUCUGAAGAUGGGGGGACCAUCCUCCAAGGCUAAAUACUCUCGACUGACCGAUAGUGAACCAGUACCGUGAGGGAAAGGCGAAAAGAACCCCGGAGAGGGGAGUGAAAUAG
rnacentral:rRNA from 1 species